rnacentral:lncRNA from 1 species
CAACCCACUCCAGUAUUCUUGCCUGGGAAUCCCAUGGACAGAGGAGCCUGACAGGGUACAAUCCAUGGGAUCGCAAAGAGUUGGACAUGACUGAGCAAUAAGAAUAGCUAUCAGAAGACAUACUAUGUGACCCUUGGGCAAAAUGUGAGGCCUGUCAGACUCUCAUUUUCCUUGUCCGAAAAGCGAAAAUAACAAUACAUUGCCAGCUGACUUUUGUGAACCUCAUAUUAUGUAGGAAAUGCUUUGAGAACCAAAGUGCCCCACAAUGUAAAGAACUGUUGUAACCGCCUACGUGGUGAACUCCAGUUUAAAGAAUGUGGACAGUGCCUUUGUAUGUUUUAACCUAUGGGUGGUUUAAAAAAAAGAAUAGAAAAGAAAAAAGUGAUGCUAAUUCAAGUAAAUAGGAUUCAGCUUGCCCAGUUGACCUAAUUCUCUUGUUGCUCCACUUGCAAAUUCAGGUAAAUUUCAUCCCUUGUAAUGGUGGAACUUGGAAGUUUCUCAGUGACCACUGUGAGAUAAAGCCACAUGUCUCAUUUCAAAGAAGUAUUAGUGUUUAGUCACUCAGUCAUGUCAGACUCUUUGUGACCCGCCCCCCCAAGGACUGCAGCCCACCAGGCUCCUCUGUCCAUGGGAUUUUGCAGGCAAGAAUACAGGAUUGGGUUGCCAUUCCCUCCUUCAGGGGAUCUUCCCGACCUAGGGAUUGAACCUAGGUCUCCUGCAUUGGCAGAUAGAUUCUUUACUCUCUGAGCCACCAGGGAAACCCCAUUUUAGAGAAUUAGAGUUAAAUAGUGAUCCAGGAUGGGUCAUUCUGCUCUGCGUCAAGCCUCAUAGAGUCCAUCUUUUCCCAUCUCUACUGCCCAAGGAGGGGCAAGUCUUUGCUUUCACCAAAGCUCCACCACCCCUAUCCUCCUCACUCAGCGUUUGCUGCCUGGAGACACCGAGGGUGCUGGGGAAUUCCUGUGUGGAGGUGCCAGCCCUCGGGUCAGGUGGGAAGGCUGGCAUUUGACCUGCACAGUGGAUCCGGAGGCCCACGUGUCCUGCAGAGCAAAUCCCAGGCCACUUUGGUCUCAGGGGAAACCAGCUGCUGUUGCCCCUUUCAGCCAGUCUGCUGGAGCAGCCCAUCCAGUGGUGGUUUGCAUUCUGGCUCCUCCUGGAGACAACGAACUGAGCGCCAUGUGGGCUGCCUGCAAGAAGCUCUUCUCCAAACACUGCUGCUUUGUCUCCUGCCCCAUCUUGCUUUGAACCCAACACAGAGCGGCCACUGUGGCCUCUCGCCUCCUUCAGGCCAGAGCCCCCUCUUAAUGUUAGGGGUCUUUUGUUCAGAAGCCCCCUGGUUCUGGAGCUCCGUGCGUGGUGGCCGAGGUCCAGAGUGGGUCGUUGGGAAGGAGAAGAAUGCAGAUUUACGGGUGUUUUUCAGACUCUACCCGAGUUGCUGAUCAAGUGGACCGUGAACAAAAUUAAUUCUUGUUCUGGAAAAAGAAAAAUGAAGCUGAGACAAAACAUGUAUCUGGUUGCAGAAAUCGUCUCUGAAUGUAGGCUGUACUGGUUGUCUUUAGUGAAGGAAGCAAGAUGAGCAANNNNNNNNNNNNNNNNNNNNNNNNNNNNNNNNNNNNNNNNNNNNGCAAAGGGAGUUUCCGUGAACUUUAAUGUGAGGAAUGUGUGAAUCUCUAGGAAAAACUAUUGAGACUCUGCAAAAGGCAGCCCAUGGAAAUACUUCCUACCACAGGUGAGGUGGAGCUGGAGAUGCGAUAAGAGACCCAAUUCCUUAUGGCACUGCUUGAGUUGCCUCAGGCUUUCAUGUUUUAUCUCAUUUGUUCUAAGUCCAAAGGACCAGCACUGCCUAUAAAACCAGCUGCAGGUUACCGGCUUCCACAACAUCCACAAACACUCGCAUUUCUUUUCCUUAAAUCUUAUUAACAAAGUAGGAGAUGCACCGGUUAAAUAGUGAAAUAGGGCAAGACCUUUACUGUGAAAGGGCUAGAGCCAGACAUACUGGAAUGUGAAGUCAAGUGGGCCUUAGAAAGCAU